ensembl:lncRNA
GUUUCUCUCAACAAGUUUAACCCUGAGGUGACUGCAUGUUGGGGAAGGACCUAAAGAAGGAAGGGAGGAAAGGAAAGGGAAGAAUGAUGGACGGAAGCAAGGGAAUGAGGUAAUGAAAGAAGGUCGGACAGUAAGGAGGAACGAAAGGAAGGGAAAAAAUAAUGAAGGAAGAAAGGAAAUAAAGGAAGACAAAGCAGGAAAGGCAGAUGUAAGGAAAUAAGGGAAGGACGAAGAAGAAAGGAAAGAAAGAAGGAAACAAUGAAAAAGAGAAGGAAAGGAGGAUAAAGGAAAGAAGCAAGGAAUGAGGAAGGAUGGAGGAAUAAGGAAGGAUGGAAAGAAACAUGAAAGAGAAGGAAGGGAGGGAGGGCGGAAAGAAGGACAGAAACAUAAACGGCAAUAAGGAAGGAAGGACCGAGAAAUUAAAUAAAUAUGGAAGAAAAGGUCAGAAGGGGGAAGCGAAAAGGAGAAAAAGGAUGCAAGGAAGAAGACGGACGAAAACAUAUCAAGAAAGAACAAAUGAAGGAAGGAAAGAAAUGUGAAAGGGAAGGAAGUAAGUAAGGAAGGAAGGACAGAAACAUGAAAGUAAAUAAGGAAGAAAAAGUAAGAUAAAGGAGGAAACAAAAAGGAGAGUAAAAGUCUGGAAGAAAGGAUAGAAGCAGGUGGUGAGAAUGAAUACAUGGGUGGGAGUUUUAAAUAAUCGCACUUCUGUAAGUGACGCUGGAUAAAUGCCAUGAAUGUAAAUAACUUUUUUUUUCCAUGAUAAAAAAAAAUCAUCAUUUUCAGGAAGUGAAGCAUUUUAUUGCGUGGUGUAAACAUUAGCUUGGAAGCCUCUUCGUUAAAAUCUCUACCCCCGACUGAUGAUAGAUCAAAGCUUGUUUCCAUAUUCUCUUCAUUCUUUUAGCAUCUGUAAUUUUCGGAAUUGAUACGUCCUUUAUAUUUAUUUAUAUUCAUUAGCUGCUAUGCUGCACAAACAAGCAGCAGUCUUGUCAAAAAGCUUUGCUUGAAUAAGUGCUAAUAAAUAUUCACACCGCCACGCUACCUAGACAUUACUUGU